rnacentral:rRNA from 1 species
AUGUCGUCCCAGUCAACUUCAGUACCAUCAGUAACAGCCGAGUUGUUACAGAAUGACAAACGAGCAGCCUGCUUAACUCUGAAAAAACCUGCACGUGCCACCAAUUAUAAGAAAAUAUUAGUUAGAAGUAGCAUCUUCGUGAGAGAUUCGUUGCUACUUCUAAAGUUAAAUUGUGAUUGGUUAGACAGAAUAGGUGGAUUAAGAAGUAACCGAGGUAACAAGCAAGAACCAGAUACAAAACUAACAUGGAUGAACAAUUGGUAUGACGUCGGGGUGAAAGAUCGCAGUGAAGAUGAGACCAGGUUCUGCUAUUUCCAUCAACAUUCGUGCGCCAACUUUCAGUCCGUAACACUUGAGAAAGUUUAUCCAAGUUUGGCCAUAAAAAAAGCAGCGAUCUUCUUGGUUCAUGAACCCAACUCGGAACUUAUAUCCAUGGCUUGUCUUCACUGUGACCAUUAA